rnacentral:rRNA from 1 species
CCCUUAGAUGUUCUGGGCCGCACACGCGCUACACUGAAGGAGGCAGCGUGUACUCCUGGAUCGAAAGAUUUGGGUAACCCGCGAAUCUCCUUCGUGCUAGGGAUUGAGGUUUGCAAUUAUCCUUCAUGAACGAGGAAUUCCCAGUAAGUGCAAGUCAUAAGCUUGCGCUGACUACGUCCCUGCCCUUUGUACACACCGCCCGUCGCUACUACCGAUUGAAGUUUUCGGUGAAUUUGCAGGAGGUUCGCUUUGAAACUGGUUCGCCAGUGGAUUUGUGGACCAAAUGCAUGUGAAUCGAUGGCUUUAGAGGAAGGAGAAGUCGUAACA